rnacentral:rRNA from 1 species
AACGAACGCUGGCGGCAGGCUUAACACAUGCAAGUCGAACGGUGAUGCUCCAGCUUGCUGGGGUGGAUUAGUGGCGAACGGGUGAGUAACACGUGAGUAACCUGCCUUUCACUUUGGGAUAAGCCUUGGAAACGGGGUCUAAUACCGGGUAUGACACAUUGUCGCAUGGUGGUGUGUGGAAAGCUUUUGUGGUGGAGGAUGGACUCGCGGCCUAUCAGCUUGAUGGUGGGGUAGUGGCCUACCAUGGCUUUGACGGGUAGCCGGCCUGAGAGGGUGACCGGCCACACUGGGACUGAGACACGGCCCAGACUCCUACGGGAGGCAGCAGUGGGGAAUAUUGCACAAUGGGCGGAAGCCUGAUGCAGCGACGCCGCGUGGAGGAUGAAGGCUUUCGGGUUGUAAACUCCUUUCAGCAGGGACGAAGCUUUGGUGACGGUACCUGCAGAAGAAGCACCGGCUAACUACGUGCCAGCCGCCGCCGUAAGAC